AUGUCCCUUACGGAUGACUCCGAAUCGGACAACGACGAGUGGCGCCCCAGGCCGAAGCCCCUGGCCGGAUCUCCUGUUAAGGUCCUACCCCGGCGAUCCUCCUCUUCCGGGAAUUCGCUGGGUCCGAACAUGAUGAAGAGCGAUUCGCCUCCACCAGCUUCCUCCUCCACUACCGUGGAUAACACCGAGGUGUCCUCCCAAAGGACUCUUCUGGAACAGGGAGAGGUACCGGAGGCUGCGAAGACGGUGCCGAAGGGUGAUACUUCGGCUGGCCCCCAACCAAAUGUCAUUCCGGAAACCCACACGGUUCCGGAGACAGAGGAGCAACCCUCUUUACCGGAAGGGGGGCGCGCCUACAACACAUGCGUCCUUUGUCAACGCGGAGGCGCCGGACACUCUGAUGAGAGCGCUUCAGGGCGCCAUCAUUGUGGAAGAAUAUCGUACCCUUAUGGGUACGGUGAUUGA
rnacentral:rRNA from 1 species